UACGUAGGGUGCGAGCGUUUAAUCGGAAUUACUGGGCGUAAAGCGUGCGCAGGCGGUUUGCUAAGACCGAUGUGAAAUCCCCGGGCUUAACCUGGGAACUGCAUUGGUGACUGGCAGGCUAGAGUAUGGCAGAGGGGGGUAGAAUUCCACGUGUAGCAGUGAAAUGCGUAGAGAUGUGGAGGAAUACCGAUGGCGAAGGCAGCCCCCUGGGCCAAUACUGACGCUCAUGCACGAAAGCGUGGGGAGCAAACAGG
rnacentral:rRNA from 1 species